CGAUUGAACGAAUCAUUCACAGUUCAACUCACUGAUUCAGUAUGGUCUCCCUGCAGUUUUUGAGUUAAUGCAUCUCUGGAUUGAAAGAUCAAUAAUGACUUAAAUUUCGGCCUGUUCUUCACACAAAUCUAUCAUAAUACAGCGUCAAGUCGUAUGAAGAGUCAUGGUUUUGAAACAACAUGAGGGUUUCAACUACGAUCCUCCACAAGAUGGCGGUGAUUCCAAAGUCUUCACUUCAGGUCAGGAAGACAAAAAGAAAAGAGGUCCUGUCUCUACUAAGCAUCCAAAGCAGCUGUUGUUUUGCAUGAGCACAUGACUGGAGAAGCUCAGAUGGGUAACAGAGGGAAAGAGGAAGCCACAGUGUUUCUCCAAACCCAAUUUAAUAAGCCAGAGCAGCUGAUGAGAAGGUGUGGAGCUGUUUUCCGUCCUUCCCCUGACAGAUCUGGGAGACGUUGCUCUCAUUGGAUGAGAAAUGAGGCCAGUGCUUCAGAGAGCAGGAAAUGGUGCAGAGAUCUUACAAACAUUCAAAUCUUCCAUCAACCCUUUUCACCCCUACCCCCGCCUGACCAUGACAUCAUCCCCUCCCCCUCGGUCCCGAGAGACCAGAGCAAGAUGGGAAAAAUUUGAACGGGAAACUCUUAUAUCACAGUAAGUCCAAGGGGAAAAAAACAUUUGUCUUGCACAGCCUCUUGGUCAGAAUAUCACUGACCUCUGAACGAGGCUUAUUCAUUUGGAAAGUACCAAACAUCAACCGAUAAGUGGGUCAUGUCCGUUAAAAUCAAGGGUUUUACUUAACAUAUAGAGCAUAAUUAGUAAUGUAGUGGCCAGUAAUAAUUUGGCAUUUUCAGAUUACGGGCAGAUAACUCAACCAGUAGAUCUAAAUAUACCGACAGUGUUGUCAAUGGAUAAUAAAUAUCAGUUGUCAUCAUAAAAUUGUAUUUUAUAUGCAUGCACAUAUAUCUAUGGUAAUUACUGGCUCUCCACAGUGGCAUCGUUUUGGGGCAGUGGAUUUCACAUAAUACAAUAUUUUUAACUCAAAAUAGUAUUUUAUGUCCAAUUAUUUGCUGGGUGCUUUGGGGGCUAAGCCCCUGCCCUUUUUCGAAAUUAUUCAAAAGUGCCCCUCUCAGACAAAUAGCAAUGAUAAUAUUGUGGUCAAUAAAACAAAAUGCAUUUAAAUUAUACUUAACAUGACAAUGUGUACAAUAGUAACGAAUCGCUCAAAAGCUGGAAAAUUUGCCAUAACGAGUUGCUAUGGGUUGUGUGCGUUUUGACUGGCUGACUGA